rnacentral:lncRNA from 1 species
AUGGUUAAGAAGUCAUUUCAUUUGUACGAGGCUGUGAUACACACACACACACACACACACACACACACACACACGCACGCACGCGCGCGCAGGAACACCCACCGAGCACUCACGUUCCGAACCCAGAACCCUGCGCUCCCCGUUCCUUCGGAAGCAGAAUUCAGAGCAAAGGACCACGAUUCCGAGACAGGCGGAGGGGGGCUCGGAACUACUCCGCGGGGUUCAAGGACCCCGGCCGGGGACGACAGCCACCGUCUCCGAGGAGCGCGAGCAGGGGGACCGCGGGGCCGGCCAUCCCCCAGCACAGCGUCCGGGACGCGACGGACGGGCACACGGCGCGCGCAGGGGGAGCGCAGCCCCAUUGUGGAAGGAGGACGCCGAGGCCGCCGCUCCCGCAGCCCCGGCCCCCACGCAGCGCCCCCGGGCCGGCCCCUCCCCCCGGCCGGCCGUCGGUCCCGGGAGACUCCGCGUCGCGGCGACCCACUCGGCGCCCCGGGGACCCGCCCAGAGUCCGGAGCCGCCCGCAGCCCCGCGCAGGGGCCCGGCGGGGCGGGGGCGUGGGGCGGCACCGCCCUCCCUUCCCCUCCCCUCCCCACCCCCAGCCCGCAGGCCCCUUACCCCCGCGGAGCCGCCGCUGCCCCACGGCGCCCUCCCGCGCAUGUCCGUCCCGGCUGGCUCAGCGCCGCGGGCUCAGGGGCCCGGACACCGCGCAGGCGCCUCGCCGCUCUCUGGCCGCCGUUCCCCGCUCGCGCUCCCCGCUCGCACUCGGCCGCCGUCGGCGCGGCUGCCGACGCCGCGUUAUAUAGCAAGUGGCGGGGCCGUGACGUCGACGCUCGGCGCCCCACCUCCCCCGCGCGGCCAAUCGGGGCCGUGCGCCGCUUAAAGGGGCGAUGCCGCGGCUCAGGCGCUGGCGCGGGGUCCACCGGCGUCGCGCGGCCCGGCGGGGCCGCCGCCUUUGUCUCCGAGGGGGAAGAUUCUGGGCCUCGGAGGCCUCCGCGCCUUUGCUCUGCCCAAUCAGAGCGGCAGCUGCCGAGCCUCCCCCGGAGUCCUGACAUCGAACUUUUCUGUGAGGUGUGCGGGCAGCUCGGCCUCGUUCCGCCCAAACCGCGGGCGGCGCCGCGCCUCGAGCGGGGUUUCCGUCGUUUCCUGCCCCGGGGAGGGUUUGGCGGGUGUUCCCCUGUCCGCGUGGCGGCCGCCGCGGGGUGA